rnacentral:tRNA from 1 species
GUAGGGUAGUAUCCUACAAGUCUUA